rnacentral:lncRNA from 1 species
GGGUGGUGGUGUGAGAAGCUGGAGAGCUGAAGCCUAUUGCCAGAUAAUCCAAACUGAAUCCUGCUGGAGGUCGUGGACACUGGUAGCACAGAGAUGGAAACUACACAGAAGCCCCAUGCAAGUGGUGCCUAUUGUUUUCAUGAUCGAAGCCUUCUUUCUCAGGUGCAUACUGUUCUUUUGGCACGAAGCUGAUGAAGAUGUGAUGUCUUUAAUAUUCUGUGGAUACUAAAGCAGAGUGCAAUUCCUCUGUAGAAACUGAGGACAGAAAAACUUCUUUUGGCUACUGCAUCUUUGUAUUUAUAUUCAGCAGCUCCUCUUUUUCUUAAUAACAGCCAGGUUAUUUUUGCUGGAAAUGUAAACUUUAUAAACCAGUGUAAUCCCAUACACACUUGAGUUAUCCAUGAAAGUCCAGAUUGUACUAAAUACUGGUAUUCAAGUCUAGUAUAAUAUGCUGUCAAAGUUACUGCAGGAGAGCACAACUCACUUUUGUUGUGUGAUGAAGGUUCUACAGAAUUCCAAUGAUUUACAACGUUUUCAGGAACAAAGAGGAAAUUAUUUUUAGUUAGACAAAAACAUACUAAGAGUUCAAUUAAGAUACUGAAAUGUGAGUGUAAUUAGCUUGCAAACGCGAGAACUUGCUUAAAGAGUUAUCUAGUUGUCCUCAUUCCCUUAAUUUGUUGGAGCAUUUUGAAAGAAUUUAAAUGUUAUAAUUAGCUAUCGUUGCGUGGCAUGUGUUGUGUUCGGUCUCAAAACUGAAGCUUCUGCUGAGCUGAAAUGGCAGCUUUAUUUUUCAGUCCAGGGGUAUGGAUUACUAAUGACCUAUUCUGAG